rnacentral:pre_miRNA from 1 species
GGGAGGCCGGAUCCUGGGCUGUGUCCCGGGGCCCUGUGCUCCGGAGCCUGCGCUGUUGGAUUCGCGCUCCCGCCCCGCAGCCUCCU